AAAUUGAAGAGUUUGAUCAUGGCUCAGAUUGAACGCUGGCGGCAGGCCUAACACAUGCAAGUCGAGCGGAAACGAGUUAUCUGAACCUUCGGGGAAGGAUAACGGCGUCGAGCGGCGGACGGGUGAGUAAUGCCUAGGAAAUUGCCCUGAUGUGGGGGAUAACCAUUGGAAACGAUGGCUAAUACCGCAUGAUGCCUACGGGCCAAAGAGGGGGACCUUCGG
rnacentral:rRNA from 1 species